GGACGAACGCUGGCGGCGUGCUUAACACAUGCAAGUCGAACGGAAAGGCCCUGCUUUUGUGGGGUGCUCGAGUGGCGAACGGGUGAGUAACACGUGAGUAACCUGCCCUUGACUUUGGGAUAACUUCAGGAAACUGGGGCUAAUACCGGAUAGGAGCUCCUGCUGCAUGGUGGGGGUUGGAAAGUUUCGGCGGUUGGGGAUGGACUCGCGGCUUAUCAGCUUGUUGGUGGGGUAGUGGCUUACCAAGGCUUUGACGGGUAGCCGGCCUGAGAGGGUGACCGGCCACAUUGGGACUGAGAUACGGCCCAGACUCCUACGGGAGGCAGCAGUGGGGAAUAUUGCACAAUGGGCGGAAGCCUGAUGCAGCAACGCCGCGUGCGGGAUGACGGCCUCCGGGUUGUAAACCGCUUUCGCCUGUGACGAAGCGUGAGUGACGGUAAUGGGUAAAGAAGCACCGGCUAACUACGUGCCAGCAGCCGCGGUGAUACGUAGGGUGCGAGCGUUGUCCGGAUUUAUUGGGCGUAAAGGGCUCGUAGGUGGUUGAUCGCGUCGGAAGUGUAAUCUUGGGGCUUAACCCUGAGCGUGCUUUCGAUACGGGUUGACUUGAGGAAGGUAGGGGAGAAUGGAAUUCCUGGUGGAGCGGUGGAAUGCGCAGAUAUCAGGAGGAACACCAGUGGCGAAGGCGGUUCUCUGGGCCUUUCCUGACGCUGAGGAGCGAAAGCGUGGGGAGCGAACAGGCUUAGAUACCCUGGUAGUCCACGCUGUAAACGGUGGGUACUAGGUGUGGGGUCCAUUCCACGGGUUCCGUGCCGUAGCUAACGCUUUAAGUACCCCGCCUGGGGAGUACGGCCGCAAGGCUAAAACUCAAAGGAAUUGACGGGGCCCCGCACAAGCGGCGGAGCAUGCGGAUUAAUUCGAUGCAACGCGUAGAACCUUACCUGGGUUUGACAUGGAUCGGGAGUGCUCAGAGAUGGGUGUGCCUCUUUUGGGGUCGGUUCACAGGUGGUGCAUGGCUGUCGUCAGCUCGUGUCGUGAGAUGUUGGGUUAAGUCCCGCAACGAGCGCAACCCUUGUUCACUGUUGCCAGCACGUUAUGGUGGGGACUCAGUGGAGACCGCCGGGGUCAACUCGGAGGAAGGUGGGGAUGACGUCAAGUCAUCAUGCCCCUUAUGUCCAGGGCUUCACGCAUGCUACAAUGGCUGGUACAGAGAGUGGCGAGCCUGUGAGGGUGAGCGAAUCUCGGAAAGCCGGUCUCAGUUCGGAUUGGGGUCUGCAACUCGACCUCAUGAAGUCGGAGUCGCUAGUAAUCGCAGAUCAGCAACGCUGCGGUGAAUACGUUCCCGGGGCUUGUACACACCGCCCGUCAAGUCAUGAAAGUUGGUAACACCCGAAGCCGGUGGCCUAACCGUUGUGGGGGAGCCGUCGAAGGUGGGACUGGUGAUUAGGACUAAG
rnacentral:rRNA from 1 species